CAGAGGUGCCAAGCGUUGUUCGGAUUUAUUGGGCGUAAAGGGUGCGUAGGCGGUUGUGUAAGUCGGGUGUGAAAUUUCGGAGCCUAACUCCGAAACUGCAUUCGAAACUGCACAGCUCGAGGUCUGGAGAGGUGAUUGGAAUUCUAGGUGUAGCAGUGAAAUGCGUAGAUAUCUAGAGGAACACCAGAGGCGAAAGCGAAUCACUGGACAGAACCUGACGCUGAGGCACGAAAGCUAGGGGAGCAAACGGGAUUAGAUACCCCGGUAGUCCUAGCCGUAAACGGUGCGUAUUUGAGGUGGGAGGAUUCGACCCCUUCCGUCUUGUAGUUAACACGAUAAAUACACCGCCUGGGGAGUACGGCCGCAAGGUUG
rnacentral:rRNA from 1 species